ACAAAAACACUCAAAAGACACAGCAGUCUGGGGGAUUUACUAAAAGACAAAGAGCCCUACUCAGGUCUCAGGAGUAAGAGAAAAUCAACACAAGGCCACUUGGGGAGGGCAGUGCUGGCUGAAGCCGUCUCACUGGACAGCCCAGGGUCAGGGGUUUCAGCCGCCUGUUCAAGGACACCGAGAUCCACAGCAGCCACCUGGGAGCUCCUACACAACUAUGCCCAGCGAUUCCAGGUUCUAACAUUCCCAUGGACCAGCCCUGCUGUCGUGGUCUCUAUGACUUUGAGCCAGAAAACCAAGGAGAAUUAGGAUUUAAAGAAGGGGACAUCAUUACAUUAACCAAUCAAAUAGAUGAAAACUGGUAUGAAGGAAUGAUACACGGAGAAUCGGGAUUCUUCCCCAUUAAUUACGUGGAAGUGAUCGUGCCUUUACCUCAGUAAAUGUGUAACACAAACUCU
rnacentral:lncRNA from 10 species